rnacentral:rRNA from 1 species
UACGGAGGGGGCUAGUGUUCCUCAUAUUGAUUCGGCGUAAAGGGUAUGUAGGCGGUUUUUUCGGUUAGGGUAACAAGAUUAUUACAGCAGUGAUAGUAUUAUCUUAGAACAAAUUAACUUAGAGUUUAAAAUAGGAUAUUACAGUACUUCUAGUCUAGGGGUAAAAUCUUUAGGGAUUAGAGGGACUAUCGCGGGCGAAGGCGGUUAUCUGGUUUAAUACUGACGCUGAGAUACGAGGGUGUGGGUAGUCAAUGGG